rnacentral:rRNA from 1 species
UACGAGGGGGGCGAGCGUUGUUCGGAAUUAUUGGGCGUAAAGGGCGCGUAGGCGGUGCGGUAAGUCACCUGUGAAACCUCUGGGCUUAACUCAGAGCCUGCAGGCGAAACUGCCGUGCUGGAGUGUGGGAGAGGUGCGUGGAAUUCCCGGUGUAGCGGUGAAAUGCGUAGAUAUCGUGAGGAACACCAGAGGCGAAGGCGACUACCUGGACAAUAGCUGACACUCAGGCACG